UAGCGCAAGCCUAAUGUCUGCUCUGAAGGCACAUGAAGCAGCAGCCUUACUGAAUCUAAGCAGGUCUGGGUCUGGCUGUUGCCUGCAUGGCAGACCUUCAGGGAAUCCAUAUAUAUUUUGACUUAAGUUCCAAGACAGAAGAAAGAUAGGAUGGACAUAAAUAGCUACAAUGCUACUCCAAGAUGAUAAGGAAUGGCAGUUGGUCCUGCUGAAACUCGUAGUUCUUGAGUUCCUGGUAAUUCUGUGAUGAAGCUCUCCUUUGAAUCUUUUGCUGGUGAUCAGCACUCCUCCGGAAACAUUGCACUCACCAUUGAACUCCAACUGCUGCUGCUUCCAGAUCUGAGUUCUACGUGGAGUAGCAGCCAGCAAAAUGCGAGCUCCCCAGCACUGAGGAACCUCCUUUUCAGUAUCUCCAUUCUCCAUUGGAUGACGCUGCUAUGAAUACUGGGUAGCACCUCAAAAAAGAAGACUGCCUGGUACAAAAGAGGACACCAGGCCAAGCUUCUCAUGCUUCUGGGGUCUAAUUGCAAGAAUGAAACUCAAGAGUUAAAUAAGAGCAAGAUGAAAGAAGUUUAAAAAUAAACACUCAGUGAAUACAGUUCCGGGUAUAUUUUAUGCUUGAGGGUAUUUCAUACAAUGAACAGUAAAGGAUGGAUCUGUCAGGAGGAAUCCAUCAUGGUGGACCAAAACCAUAAGGGGUGUAUGUGGCCCAGAUAUAAAAUGCUGCUUUACUGAAUAUGAGAAUGUCCAAACAGAUCAUUGGUUACAGACUAUGUAAAUGUAGGGAAUAGUGCUUUGAGUCUGGA